CACAUGCAAGUCGAGGGGCAGCACGAGGUAGUAAUACUUUGGUGGCGACCGGCGCACGGGUGAGUAACGCGUAUGCAACCUACCCUGUACAGGGGGAUAACNNNNNNNNNNNNNNNNNNNNNNNNNNNNNNNNNNNNNNNNNNNNNNNNNNGACAAUUAAAGUUUCGGCGGUAAAAUUGGAGCUUGCGUACCAUUAGCUAGUUGGUAGGGUAAUGGCCUACCAAGGCAACGAUGGUUAGCGGGUCUGAGAGGAUGAUCCCCCACACUGGUACUGAGACACGGACCAGACUCCUACGGGAGGCAGCAGUGAGGAAUAUUGGUCAAUGGGCGCAAGCCUGAACCAGCCAUCCCGCGUGCAGGAUGACGGCCCUAUGGGUUGUAAACUGCUUUUAUACACCAAGAAAAAUCCCCACGUGUUGGGGACCCGACGGUAGUGUAUGAAUAAGCAUCGGCUAACUCCGUGCCAGCAGCCGCGGUAAUACGGAGGAUGCAAGCGUUAUCCGGAUUCAUUGGGUUUAAAGGGUGCGUAGGCGGCUUUUUAAGUCAGUGGUGAAAUCCUGCCGCUUAACGGUAGAAUUGCCAUUGAUACUGAAAAGCUUGAGUACAUUUGAGGUAAGCGGAAUGUGUAGUGUAGCGGUGAAAUGCUUAGAUAUUACACAGAACACCAAUUGCGAAGGCAGCUUACUAAACUGAUACUGACGCUGAUGCACGAAAGCGUGGGGAGCGAACAGGAUUAGAUACCCUGGUAGUCCACGCCGUAAACGAUGAGUGCUAGGUGUAGGGGGUAUCCCCUCAGUGCCGCAGUUAACGCAAUAAGCACUCCGCCUGGGGAGUACGGCCGCAAGGUUGAAACUCAAAGGAAUUGACGGGGGCCCGCACAAGCGGUGGAGUAUGUGGUUUAAUUCGACGCAACGCGAAGAACCUUACCAGGGCUUAAAUGUAGGGUGCAUUUUUUAGAGAUAGAAAUUCCCUUCGGGGCUUUCUGCAAGGUGCUGCAUGGUUGUCGUCAGCUCGUGCCGUGAGGUGUCGGGUUAAGUCCCAUAACGAGCGCAACCCUUAUCGUUAGUUGCUACGCAAGAGCACUCUAAUGAGACUGCCGGUGACAAACCGGAGGAAGGUGGGGAUGACGUCAAGUCCUCAUGGCCCUUAUAGGUGGGGCUACACACGUCAUACAAUGGCUGGUACAGAGGGUUGCCAACCCGCGAGGGGGAGCCAAUCCCAUAAAGCCGGUCUCAGUCCGGAUUGGAGUCUGCAACUCGACUCCAUGAAGUUGGAAUCGCUAGUAAUCGUGGAUCAGCACGCCACGGUGAAUACGUU
rnacentral:rRNA from 1 species